UGCCAAUGAUGCUUUUUAAAUGCACGUAUUAUCAGAAUUAUAAGCUGAUGAUAUCUCAAUUGUCACUACCUCUGAGGCA